rnacentral:rRNA from 1 species
AUGUCGCUCCCGUUUGACCCCGUUGCUCAGGCCGUCGGCGCGGCGACAUGGCUGGUCGGCGUCGUGGCCGAGAGGCUCAUCGGCGACGGCGUCGGUGCGUGGGCCGCCCGCUACGGCCUUGAAGAGGAGGCCUCGCGCCUCAGGGCCGAGCUGCGGCGCGCCAACCUCGUCCUCGGCGCGGCGCGGGCGGGGGCGGCCGGCAAGAAGAUCGGGAACGAGCAGCUGGCGGAGCCGAUUGCGGCCGUGCGGCGCCUGGCUGCGGACGCGCGCAACCUCCUCGACGAGCUCGACUACCUGGAGAUACACGACAAGAUCAAAGAUAAGGACCACACCGCAUGUUCGUCGAAGACGCAAUCUUUUAUUCGAUUUGCAUAUGGUUUUGCUAAUCAGGCGAGUAGAUGCAUAUCGUCCACGGUGAAACUCAAUACAAAAGUUCCUGGCAUGCAUAAAGAGGACGGUCCUUCGACAAACAAAAGAAAAGUUGAGCGUCAUGAUAUCAUGACUGGAAUGAAAAGAAUGAAGCUUGUUGAUCCAGAUAACCAAAUGACUCCAGAGAAGAAGAUUCAAGGGGACACAAUUCCAGAAGAAAUACCAGAGAGGAAACUCAGUAAAGACGACAUAUCACAGCGAAUAGCAAAUAUUGUGGUCCAGCUACAUGACAUCUGUGAGGAUGUUCGUAAGGCUCUCAAGCAAGAGAAACUUGACGAAAUUUCCCGAGUGUCUCAAAACAAAAGUUCAGACUCGCGUGAAGAAGGGGCCUGCUUUGUUGAAACUAAAGUCUUUGCAAGGGAACACGAGAAGAACCAGAUCGAAAAAUGUAUCACUGAUGGCGCAGCAAGUAAAGAAAAGCUUUUGGUUCUUCCUAUUAUUGGUACUGGAGGUGUUGGAAAGACGACACUUGCUCGAACAGUGUAUAAUGACCCAGAUGUUGAAGCUAGCUUUGCUAUCAGGAUGUGGAUUUAUGUAUCUGUUAACUUCGAUGAAGUCAAGCUCACAGAACAGAUUCUGGACUGCAUUUCAGAUGGGAGGCAUAAAAAUUCAGCUAAGAAUUUCAGUACACUCCAAGAUGGUAUCAAGAAAUUUUUGACAAAAAGAUUCCUACUUGUUCUGGAUGAUAUGUGGGAAGAUGACGAGAGACGCUGGAACAAGCUAUUGGCUCCACUAAGAUGUACCGAAAUCACAGGAAAUGUGGUUUUGGUGACUACUCGAGAACUAUCAGUUGCCAAAAUGACGAGCACAUUGGAGCAGUACAUUAAGUUGGGUGGUUUAAAAGAAGAUGUGUUUUGGCUUUUCUUCAAAAGAUGUAUAUUUGGUGAUGAAAACUAUCAAGGCCGAAAAAAGCUCCAGAAUAUUGGAAAGGAGAUAGUCACUAGGUUAAGCGGAAACCCAUUGGCAGCAAAAAGUGUUGGCACACUGUUGAAAAGAAGGCUUGAAGAGAAGUACUGGCAGAGAAUUUCAGAUGGUGAUGAAUGGAAACUACAAGGAGGCAAUGGUGGCAUAUUGCCAGCACUCAUGUUAAGUUACAAUCACCUUCCCUACCACCUUCAGAGAUUGUUCUCUUACUGUGCUGUAUUUCCGAAGGGCUACAAAUUUCACAAGGAACAGUUGGUAUGUAUUUGGAUUGCUCUUGGGUUUGUUGUCGAGGAGAGAAAGAGACUAGAAGAUACUGGAAGCGACUAUUUUGACGAGUUGGUAGACAGGAGCUUCUUUGAAAAACUGGAGGAGCCACAUGAAUACUAUCUCAUGCAUGAUUUAAUUCAUCAUGUAGCACAGAGUGUCUUACUAGAUGAAUGUCUCACCAUGGACGGCUCAGGUCCACUAGCAGUCUCCCCAUCUCCUAGUCAUGUCAGCAUCUGGACCGAAUCAGAAUACAAGACGCAACAAAACGGUGAAACAGAACGUAAUGAAACCUUUGAAAAAAGGUUAACUGCCAUUCAAAAAUAUGAUAUCUUAAGAAGCUUGGACAGUGUAAUGCUAGUUGGUCCAUAUGAUGAGAAUGUUUCUGUAAUUUUUACGCAGAUUCUCAGGCAACUACAGUAUGUUCGAGUGCUUCGGGUAUCAGCAACACUCUCUAGUGCUGACAUUUGGCAACUCAGUAUUUCAAAGCUCAUCCAUCUUCGCUAUCUAGAGCUGUGGUUCACCAGCGACACUGCCAAACCUUUGUCUGAGGCUCUGUGUGGACUUUACCACCUGCAGGUACUCGACGUAAGUCACUGGGGUGGUCUGGAUGGUUUGCCAAGACGCAUGAGUAAUCUUGUAAAUCUGCGAUACCUUCUUGUUCCGGAGUCGUCGGUGCCAUUGCACUUGCACUCAAAGAUAGCAAGAGUUGGUGAACUCAAGUUUCUGCAAGAACUGAAAGAAUACCGUGUCCAAACAGAGAGUGGGUUUGAGAUUUCACAGCUGGAGAACCUGAAUGACAUCAGAGGAUCACUUAGAAUCUUCAAUCUUGAAAAGGUCACAGAAAAGGACGAGGCCUGCCGUGCAAGGAUUAAAGAUAAAAAGCAUUUGAGGACUCUCUGGCUGUCAUGGGAAAUAACGAGCGCCGAUCCUUCGUUUUCGAAGGAAGUACUGGAGGGUCUUGAACCACAUGACCGUCUUGAGCAUCUUCAUAUCAUAAAUUACAUAGGUGCCACUCCAUCCUGGUUGGGUCAGAGUUUCUCCCACAACAAUUUAGAAAGUCUAUAUCUUCAGGAUUGUAACGGUAUGGAGAUACUGCCGCCCUUCGAUGAAUUGCCUUUUUUGGAGAAGCUAUCCUUGGUUGGCAUGUCUUCACUGAAGGAGGUCAAUUUUGGAACUGCAGACAGAAGUACUCAAUCCUCUCAGGGUCUCAUGACACAUUUGGAUGACUCUUCCCUUGUUGAACUCGAACUGUCCAAGUGUUCGUCCUUAGCAUUGGUGAGGCUUCUUUCCUGCAGGGCAUUGGAAAAGUUGAGCAUCGUGGACUGUGUGCUGCUAGCUUCUGUCGAUGGCCUGCAGUCACUUGACCAACUGAAGUACUGCGACAUCAAAGAAUGCCCUUGUUUGGAAAAUCAGUUCCAGGGAAUAAUAAACAUCUAA